rnacentral:lncRNA from 1 species
CCAACUUUGUGUAUAAGAAAUAUCUUGACGUUCGUUCUUUGGGUUAUGCAGUUCUUUAGUGACUAUGAUUCUCUAUUAAGGAUUAUUAAAUGUUUAUGUUGUAGUAUUGUAAGUACUUUUACGCUUAACAUAAGCAUGUUAUUAUUUUUUAAAACAUAAUACAAGCUGUUUACGAUCUUAAAAUACAUAAAUCCAUGCUUUUUUU